CUACGGGAGGCUCCAGGCGCGCAACCUUUACAAUGCACUAACGUGUGAUAAGGGGACUCCAAGUGCUUAUGCUCAGCAUAGGCUUUUGCCAAGAGUGAAGACCUUGGCGAAUAAGCGGUGGGUAAGACUGGUGCCAGCAGCCGCGGUAACACCAGCGCCGCAAGUGGGAAUCGGUUUUAUUGGGCCUAAAGCAUCCGUAGCUGGCCUAACAAGUCUUUUGUGAAAUCGAGGAGCUUAACUCAUCGGAAUGCGGAAGAUACUGUUAGGCUUGGGACUGGGGGGAGUGAGAGGAAUUUCGUGGGAAGCGGUAAAAUGCUAUAAUCCUCGAAAGACCACCGAUGGCGAAGGCAUCUCACCAGAACAGAUCCGACAGUGAGGGAUGAAAGCUAGGGGAGCAAACCGGAUUAGAUACCCGAGUAGUC
rnacentral:rRNA from 1 species